AUUUUUUNCNANNGGGGGNANCCNNNAUCUNCAACNCCGCGGGAGUGAAGAAGGCCUUCCGGUCGUAAAACUCUGUUGAGUGGGAAGAAGAUUUAUGUGGUUAAUACCCAUAUAGAUUGACGGUACCCCAGAAGGAAGCACCGGCUAACUCCGUGCCAGCAGCCGCGGUAAUACGGAGGGUGCGAGCGUUUUUCUGAAUUAUUGGGCGUAAAGAGCGCGUAGGCGGCCUUUCAAGUCAGGUGUGAAAUCCCCGGGCUCAACCCCGGAAGAGCAUUUGAUACUGUAGGGCUUGAGUAUGGGAGAGGGAAGUGGAAUUCCUCGUGUAGCGGUGAAAUGCGUAGAUAUCUGGAGGAACACCCGUGGCGAAGGCGGCUUCCUGGGCCAAUACUGACGCUGAGGCGCGAAAGCGUGGGGAGCAAACACGAUUAGAUACCCUGGUAGUCCACGCCCUAAACGGUGAUCACUAGGUGUAGCGGGUAUUGACCCCUGCAGUGCCGGAGCUAACGCAUUAAGUAUCCGCCUGG
rnacentral:rRNA from 1 species